rnacentral:rRNA from 1 species
CAGCAGCCACGGUAAUACGUAGGUGGUAAGCGUUGUCCGGAAUUAUUGGGCGUAAAGGGCUCGCAGGCGGUUUCUUAAGUCUGAUGUGAAAGCCCCCGGCUCAACCGGGGAGGGUCAUUGGAAACUGGGAAACUUGAGUGCAGAAGAGGAGAGUGGAAUUCCACGUGUAGCGGUGAAAUGCGUAGAGAUGUGGAGGAACACCAGUGGCGAAGGCGACUCUCUGGUCUGUAACUGACGCUGAGGAGCGAAAGCGUGGGGAGCGAACAGGAUUAGAUACCCCUGUAGUCCCUGUCUCUUAUAC